GGCUCUGUAGCUCAAUUGGAUAGAGCAUCUGACUACGGAUCAGAAGGUUGUGGGUUCGAAUCCCUCCAGAGUCA
rnacentral:tRNA from 1 species